AUUGAACGCUGGCGGCAGGCCUAACACAUGCAAGUCGAGCGGCAGCGGGAAAGUAGCUUGCUACUUUUGCCGGCGAGCGGCGGACGGGUGAGUAAUGCCUGGGGAUCUGCCCAGUCGAGGGGGAUAACUACUGGAAACGGUAGCUAAUACCGCAUACGCCCUACGGGGGAAAGCAGGGGACCUUCGGGCCUUGCGCGAUUGGAUGAACCCAGGUGGGAUUAGCUAGUUGGUGAGGUAAUGGCUCACCAAGGCGACGAUCCCUAGCUGGUCUGAGAGGAUGAUCAGCCACACUGGAACUGAGACACGGUCCAGACUCCUACGGGAGGCAGCAGUGGGGAAUAUUGCACAAUGGGGGAAACCCUGAUGCAGCCAUGCCGCGUGUGUGAAGAAGGCCUUCGGGUUGUAAAGCACUUUCAGCGAGGAGGAAAGGUUGGUAGCUAAUAACUGCCAGCUGUGACGUUACCCGCAGAAGAAGCACCGGCUAACUCCGUGCCAGCCGCCGCUGUAA
rnacentral:rRNA from 1 species